rnacentral:lncRNA from 1 species
GUCCACUAGACCUUGACAUUAUUGUUAUAAAAAAAGAGAUGUGGUAUGAUUGCCAAUGAGACAACUGUCCUCAAAAGACCAAAAUGACACAGACAUUAACAACUAUAGGUCACCGUACGGCCUUCAACAAUGAGCAAAGCCCAUACCGCAUAGUCAGCUGUAAAAGGCCCCGAUAAGACAAUGUAAAACGAUUCAAACGAGAAAACUAACAGCC